ACCUACCAGAGGUUGUAAAGGAUACGCGGGUGAAACUGAUAUAAUAUUAACAUUUAAGGUCGAAUUCGUAUCUGAUUCUUCGGAAGAUAAUAGUAAGGUAGUGCAACGUAGUAAUACGUUUGCGGGAG
rnacentral:ncRNA from 1 species